rnacentral:tRNA from 1 species
GCGAGAGUGGUGGAACUGGCAGACACGCUAGACUUAGGAUCUAGUGCCACUAGGCUUAAGGGUUCAAGUCCCUUCUCUCGCA